rnacentral:lncRNA from 1 species
GGGUGCUUCUAAAUGGGACUAGUCAGGAUACCUUCAUUCCCUUUUUUUCUUGGCUCAAGCUUUUGUGGCUUGCAUUUCUGAACGGUGAGAUUCUUCGCAGCUCGACCUAGACGAAGAAACAAGAAGAAGAAAAAUUGUUCCGUUUCUCUUCUCGAAGUAAAGAAAAGGUUCCGAAAUUCUUUCCUUUGUCUGCUAGCUGGAAUUAUCGAGAUAUACACAGCAGAGCUUAUCCAACUCCACUCAUUCGCUUCUUUUCCA